AGCGUAGACGGUGUGGCAAGUCUGAUGUGAAAGGCAUGGGCUCAACCUGUGGACUGCAUUGGAAACUGUCAUACUUGAGUGCCGGAGGGGUAAGCGGAAUUCCUAGUGUAGCGGUGAAAUGCGUAGAUAUUAGGAGGAACACCAGUGGCGAAGGCGGCUUACUGGGCGGUAACUGACGUUGAGGCUCGAAAGCGUGGGGAGCAAACA
rnacentral:rRNA from 1 species